GAGAGCGGCGUACGGGUUGCGGAACACGUGUGCAACAGCUUUAUCUGGGGGAUAGCCUUUCGAAAGGAAGAUUAAUACCCCAUAAUAUGUUGGAUGGCAUCAUUCGACAUUGAAAACUCCGGUGGAUAGAGGUGGGCACGCGCAAGAUUAGAUAGUUGGUGAGGUAACGGCUCACCAAGUCUACGAUCUUUAGGGGGCCUGAGAGGGUGAUCCCCCACACUGGUACUGAGACACGGACCAGACUCCUACGGGAGGCAGCAGUGAGGAAUAUUGGACAAUGGGUGAGAGCCUGAUCCAGCCAUCCCGCGUGAAGGACGACUGGCCUAUGGGUUGUAAACUUCUUUUGUAUAGGGAUAAACCUACCCUCGUGAGGGUAGCUGAAGGUACUAUACGAAUAAGCACCGGUAACUCCGUGCCAGCAGCCGCGGUAAUACGGAGGGUGCAAGCGUUAUCCGGAUUUAUUGGGUUUAAAGGGUCCGUAGGCGGAUCUGUAAGUCAGUGGGUGAAAUCUCCACAGUUUACUGUGGAAACUGGCCAUUGAUUACUGCAGGUCUUGAGUGUUGUUGAAGUUAGCUGGGAAUAAAGUAGUGUAACGGGUGG
rnacentral:rRNA from 1 species